CUGCGAGUUCGCGGGAGAGUAGGUUAUUGCCAGGGUUUUUAUUUUAUACUUUAAAUCUUGAAUUUAUUUUUUAAAUGUUUAUAUUAUUUGAAUAAAACAUUCAAAUAAUAUAAAAAAUAAUAUAUAUAUUGACAUGGAUUAAACAAAGAUAUAUAUUAUUCUAUGUUGUAUAAACAAAUUGGCAAAAUAGAGAUGGAAGAUAAAAAUAUGGUCAAAGUAAUAAGAGUCUAUGGUGAAUGCCUAGGA
rnacentral:misc_RNA from 1 species